rnacentral:misc_RNA from 1 species
AACGCACCUUGCGCCUCUUGGUAUUCCGAGGGGCAUGCCUGUUUGAGUGUGAUUGAAUCCUCAAAAGAGAAUCUUAACAGAUUUUAUCUUUUGGAAUUGGGGUGUGCUGGCCUUUUGUUUAGAAAGCCCAGCUCCCCUGAAAUACAUUAGCGAUGUGACAUCCGCAUGGCACCACGCCUAUCUGGCAUUGAUAGUCUUUUCAUGCUUGAGCGUGUUGUGCAGCUGUGGAAAGCUUUGCUCGCUCACAACUGAUGGGGUUCUCCCCCCCCAUCCUUAUGACCAAUUUAACCUCAAAUCAGGUAGGAUUACCCGCUGAACUUAA